GACGAACCGUGCAAACGUUGUUCGGAAUCACUGGGCUUAAAGGGCGCGUAGGCGGGCAGCCAAGUCUGUGGUGAAAUCUUUCGGCUUAACCGGAAAACUGCCGUGGAUACUGGCUGUCUUGAGGGAGGUAGGGGCUCGUGGAACUUCCGGUGGAGCGGUGAAAUGCGUUGAUAUCGGAAGGAACGCCGGUGGCGAAAGCGGCGGGCUGGAUCUCUUCUGACGCUGAGGCGCGAAAGCCAGGGGAGCAAACGGG
rnacentral:rRNA from 1 species